AGUGAACGCUGGCGGCAGGCCUAACACAUGCAAGUCGAACGGCAGCACAGCAGUAGCAAUACUGUGGGUGGCGAGUGGCGGACGGGUGAGGAAUACAUGGGAAUCUACCCUGUCGUGGGGGAUAACGUAGGGAAACUUACGCUAAUACCGCAUACGACCGAGAGGUGAAAGCGGCGGACCGCAAGGCGUCGCGCGACUGGAUGAGCCCAUGUCGGAUUAGCUAGUUGGCGGGGUAAAGGCCCACCAAGGCGACGAUCCGUAGCUGGUCUGAGAGGAUGAUCAGCCACACUGGGACUGAGACACGGCCCAGACUCCUACGGGAGGCAGCAGUGGGGAAGUAUUGGACAAUGGGCGCAAGCCCUGAUACCCAGCAAUGCCCGCGUGUGUGAAGAAGGCCUUCGGUUGUAAG
rnacentral:rRNA from 1 species